AUUGAACGCUGGCGGCAGGCCUAACACAUGCAAGUCGAGCGAGCGGCGGACGGGUGAGUAAUGUAUGGGAACUGCCCGGUAGCGGGGGAUAAUACUGGAAACGGUGGCUAAUACCGCAUACUAUCGGAUGACCCAUAUGGGAUUAGCUAGUAGGUGGGGUAAAGGCUCACCAAGGCAACGAUCUCGCGCUGGUCUGAGAGGAUGAUCAGCCACACUGGGACGGAGACACGGCCCAGAAUCCUACGGGAGUCAGCAGUGGGGAAUAUGGCACAAUGGGGGAAACCCUGAUGCAGCCAUCCCGCGUGUAUGAAGAAGGCCUUAGGGUUGUAAAGUACUUUCAGCGGGAGGCGGUUCUGCAGAAGAAGCACCGGCUAACUCCGUGCCAGCAGCCGCGGUAAUUC
rnacentral:rRNA from 1 species